UACAGAGACUGCAAGCGUUAUUCGGAUUCACUGGGCGUAAAGGGUGCGCAGGCGGCCGAGUGUGUGAGGCGUGAAAGCCCGGGGCUUAACCCUGGAAUGCCGGUGGAAACUGUCGGGCUGGAGUCCGGAAGAGGCGAGUGGAAUUCCUGGUGUAGCGGUGAAAUGCGCAGAUAUCAGGAGGAACACCAAUGGCGAAGGCAGCUCGCUGGGACGGUACUGACGCUGAGACGCGAAAGCGUGGGGAGCAAACAGG
rnacentral:rRNA from 1 species